AUCGAACGCUGGCGGCAUGCCUUACACAUGCAAGUCGAACGGCAGCACGGGUGCUUGCACCUGGUGGCGAGUGGCGAUCGGGUGAGUAAUACAUCGGAACAUGUCCUGUAGUGGGGGAUAGCCCGGCGAAAGCCGGAUUAAUACCGCAUACGAUCUACGGAUGAAAGCGGGGGACCUUCGCGCCUCGCGCUAUAGGGUUGGCCGAUGGCUGAUUAGCUAGUUGGUGGGGUAAAGGCCUACCAAGGCGACGAUCAGUAGCUGGUCUGAGAGGACGACCAGCCACACUGGGACUGAGACACGGCCCAGACUCCUACGGGAGGCAGCAGUGGGGAAUUUUGGACAAUGGGCGAAAGCCUGAUCCAGCAAUGCCGCGUGUGUGAAGAAGGCCUUCGGGUUGUAAAGCACUUUUGUCCGGAAAGAAAUCCUUGGCCCUAAUACGGUCGGGGGAUGACGGUACCGGAAGAAUAAGCACCGGCUAACUACGUG
rnacentral:rRNA from 1 species